rnacentral:tRNA from 1 species
CAGAGAAUAGUUUAAAACAAAAAUUUUAAUUUUGGAGAUUAAAGAUGGGAGAUUUCCUUUCUCUGA